rnacentral:rRNA from 1 species
ACAACUUUCAACAACGGAUCUCUUGGUUCUCGCAUCGAUGAAGAACACAGCGAAAUGUGAUAAGUAAUGUGAAUUGCAGAAUUCAGUGAAUCAUCGAAUUUUUGAAUGCAUUUUGCGCUCCUUGGUAUUUCGAGGAGCAUGCCUGUUUGAGUGUCAUAAAA